ACGGGAGGCAGCAGUGGGGAAUAUUGGACAAUGGGCGAAAGCCUGAUCCAGCGACGCCGCGUGAGUGAAGAAGUAUUUCGGUAUGUAAAGCUCUAUCAGCAGGGAAGAUAAUGACGGUACCUGACUAAGAAGCCCCGGCUAACUACGUGCCAGCAGCCGCGGUAAUACGAGGGGUGCAAGCGUUGUUCGGAAUCACUGGGCGUAAAGGGAGCGCAGGCGGAAGUGCAAGCGGUCUGUACAAUACCGGGGCCCAACCCCGGACCUGCAGACCGGACUGCAUUUCUUGGAUAGUUCAGGGGCAAGCGGAAUUCCUGGUGUAGCGGUGGAAUGCGUAGAGAUCAGGAAGAACACCGAUGGCGAAGGCAGCUUGCUGGGGACUUAUCGACGCUCAUGCUCGAAAGUGCGGGUAGCAAACAGGAUUAGAUACCCUGGUA
rnacentral:rRNA from 1 species